rnacentral:rRNA from 1 species
GAUGAACGCUGGCGGCGUGCUUAACACAUGCAAGUCGAACGGUGAAGCAGAGCUUGCUCUGUGGAUCAGUGGCGAACGGGUGAGUAACACGUGAGCAACCUGCCCUGGACUCUGGGAUAAGCGCUGGAAACGGCGUCUAAUACUGGAUACGAGACGUGGCCGCAUGGUCAACGUUGGGAAAGAUUUUUUGGUUCAGGAUGGGCUCGCGGCCUAUCAGCUUGUUGGUGAGGUAAUGGCUCACCAAGGCGUCGACGGGUAGCCGGCCUGAGAGGGUGACCGGCCACACUGGGACUGAGACACGGCCCAGACUCCUACGGGAGGCAGCAGUGGGGAAUAUUGCACAAUGGGCGAAAGCCUGAUGCAGCAACGCCGCGUGAGGGAUGACGGCCUUCGGGUUGUAAACCUCUUUUAGCAAGGAAGAAGCGAAAGUGACGGUACUUGCGGAAAAAGCGCCGGCUAACUACGUGCCAGCAGCCGCAGUAAUAC